AAUGAACGUUGGCGGCAUGGAUUAGGCAUGCAAGUCGAGCGAGAAGUGUAGCAAUACACGGAAAGCGGCGGAAGGGAGAGUAAUACGUGGGAAUCUGCCCUUAGACCUAGGAUAGCAGCGGGAAACUGCUGGUAAUACCAGAUAAUGUCUAUGGACCAAAGGUGUGAUUCCGUCUAGGGAUGAGCCCACGUCCUAUUAGCUAGUUGGUAGGGUAAUGGCCUACCAAGGCGAUGAUGGGUAGCGGGUGUGAGAGCAUGACCCGCCUCACUGGGACUGAGACACUGCCCAGACACCUACGGGUGGCUGCAGUGGAGAAUCUUGGGCAAUGGGCGCAAGCCUGACCGAGCGAUGCCGCGUGCGGGAUGAAGGCCUUCGGGUUGUAAACCGCUGUCGAGGGGGAGCAACUUCCAUAGAGUUAUCUUUAUGGAUUGAGUGAUCCCUGGAGGAAGGACGGGCUAAGUUCGUGCCAGCCGCCGCUGUAAGAC
rnacentral:rRNA from 1 species